rnacentral:rRNA from 1 species
UACGUAGGGUGCAAGCGUUGUCCGGAAUUAUUGGGCGUAAAGAGCUCGUAGGCGGUGUGUCGCGUCGGCCGUGAAAACCUGCAGCUUAACUGUGGGCUUGCGGUCGAUACGGGCAUCACUGGAGUUCGGCAGGGGAGACUGGAAUUCCUGGUGUAGCGGUGAAAUGCGCAGAUAUCAGGAAGAACACCAGCGGCGAAGGCGGCACUCUGGGCUGGAAUUGACGCUGAGGAGCGAAAGUGUGGGUAGCAAACAGG